GCCCGGAUGGCGGAAUGGCAGACGCUGGGGACUUAAAAUCCCCUGCCCGCAAGGGCGUGUGGGUUCGAUCCCCACUCCGGGCACCA
rnacentral:tRNA from 1 species